CAGAGUUUAAAAACUCCCAAACCCAUGUGAACUUACCAUUGUUGCCUCGGCGGACCUACCCUGAAGGGACCUACCCUGAAAGGGGCCUACCCCAGGGUGGCCCGCCGGCGGAAUUUCAAACUAUUGUUAUUUUAAUGCAAUCUGAGCGUCUUAUUUUAAUAAGUCA
rnacentral:misc_RNA from 1 species